ACGGAAGGCAGCAGUGGGGAAUAUUGCACAAUGGGGGAAACCCUGAUGCAGCGACGCCGCGUGAAGGAAGAAGUAUUUCGGUAUGUAAACUUCUAUCAGCAGGGAAGAAAAUGACGGUACCUGACUAAGAAGCCCCGGCUAACUACGUGCCAGCAGCCGCGGUAAUACGUAGGGGGCAAGCGUUAUCCGGAUUUACUGGGUGUAAAGGGAGCGUAGGCGGUCUGACAAGUCAGAAGUGAAAGCCCGGGGCUCAACCUCGGGACUGCUUUUGAAACUGCCGGACUAGAUUGCAGGAGAGGUAAGUGGAAUUCCUAGUGUAGCGGUGAAAUGCGUAGAUAUUAGGAGGAACACCAGUGGCGAAGGCGGCUUACUGGACUGUAAAUGACGCUGAGGCUCGAAAGCGUGGGGAGCAAACAGGAUUAGAUACCCUGGUA
rnacentral:rRNA from 1 species